AAAAAAGGUAAGCUACUAAGAGCGAAUGGUGGAUGCCUUGACUGGUAAAGGCGAUGAAGGACGUACUAGACUGCGAUAAGCUACGGGGAGCUGUCAAGAAGCUUUGAUCCGUAGAUUUCCGAAUGGGGCAACCCAAUGUAUAGAGAUAUACAUUACCUAUAUAGGAGCGAACGAGGGGAAUUGAAACAUCUUAGUACCCUCAGGAAAAGAAAUCAAUAGAGAUUGCGUCAGUAGCGGCGAGCGAAAGCGCAAGAGGGCAAACCCAGUGCUUGCACUGGGGGUUGUAGGACUGCAAUGUGCAAGAGGUGAGUUUAGCAGAACAUUCUGGAAAGUAUAGCCAUAGAGGGUGAUAGUCCCGUAUGCGAAAAACAAACCUUAGCUAGCAGUAUCCUGAGUAGGGCGGGACACGAGAAAUCCUGUCUGAAGCUGGGUCGACCACGAUCCAACCCUAAAUACUAAUACCAGAUCGAUAGUGCACAAGUACCGUGAGGGAAAGGUGAAAAGAACUGAGGUGAUCAGAGUGAAAUAGAACCUGAAACCAUUUGCUUACAAUCAUUCAGAGCCCUAUGUAGCAAUACAGGGUGAUGGACUGCCUUUUGCAUAAUGAGCCUGCGAGUUGUGGUGUCUGGCAAGGUUAAGCAAACGCGAAGCCGUAGCGAAAGCGAGUCUGAAUAGGGCGCUUAGUCAGAUGCUGCAGACCCGAAACGAAGUGAUCUAUCCAUGAGCAAGUUGAAGCUAGUGUAAGAACUAGUGGAGGACUGAACCCAUAGGCGUUGAAAAGCCCCGGGAUGACUUGUGGAUAGGGGUGAAAGGCCAAUCAAACUUCGUGAUAGCUGGUUCUCUCCGAAAUAUAUUUAGGUAUAGCGUUGUGUCGUAAUAUAAGGGGGUAGAGCACUGAAUGGGCUAGGGCAUACACCAAUGUACCAAACCCUAUCAAACUCCGAAUACCUUAUAUGUAAUCACAGCAGUCAGGCGGCGAGUGAUAAAAUCCGUCGUCAAGAGGGAAACAACCCAGACUACCAGCUAAGGUCCCUAAAUCUUACUUAAGUGGAAAACGAUGUGAAGUUACUUAAACAACCAGGAGGUUGGCUUAGAAGCAGCCAUCCUUUAAAGAAAGCGUAAUAGCUCACUGGUCUAGUGAUUUUGCGCGGAAAAUAUAACGGGGCUAAAGUAAGUACCGAAGCUGUAGACUUGAUUUUAUCAAGUGGUAGGAGAGCGUUCUAUUUGCGCCGAAGGUAUACCGGUAAGGAGUGCUGGAGCGAAUAGAAGUGAGCAUGCAGGCAUGAGUAGCGAUAAUUAAUGUGAGAAUCAUUAACGCCGUAAACCCAAGGUUUCCUACGCGAUGCUCGUCAUCGUAGGGUUAGUCGGGUCCUAAGUCGAGUCCGAAAGGGGUAGACGAUGGCAAAUUGGUUAAUAUUCCAAUACCAACAUUAGUGUGCGAUGGAAGGACGCUUAGGGCUAAGGGGGCUAGCGGAUGGAAGUGCUAGUCUAAGGUCGUAGGAGGUUAUACAGGCAAAUCCGUAUAACAAUACUCCGAGAACUGAAAGGCUUUUUGAAGUCUUCGGAUGGAUAGAAGAACCCCUGAUGCCGUCGAGCCAAGAAAAGUUUCUAAGUUUAGCUAAUGUUGCCCGUACCGUAAACCGACACAGGUGGGUGGGAUGAGUAUUCUAAGGCGCGUGGAAGAACUCUCUUUAAGGAACUCUGCAAAAUAGCACCGUAUCUUCGGUAUAAGGUGUGGUUCGCUUCGUAUUAGGAUUUACUCCGAAAGCGAAGAAACUUACAACAAAGAGUCCCUCCCGACUGUUUACCAAAAACACAGCACUCUGCUAACUCGUAAGAGGAUGUAUAGGGUGUGACGCCUGCCCGGUGCUCGAAGGUUAAUUGAUGGGGUUAGCAUUAGCGAAGCUCUUGAUCGAAGCCCGAGUAAACGGCGGCCGUAACUAUAACGGUCCUAAGGUAGCGAAAUUCCUUGUCGGUUAAAUACCGACCUGCAUGAAUGGCGUAACGAGAUGGGAGCUGUCUCAAAGAGGGAUCCAGUGAAAUUGUAGUGGAGGUGAAAAUUCCUCCUACCCGCGGCAAGACGGAGAGACCCCGUGGACCUUUACUACAGCUUGACACUGCUACUUGGAUAAGAAUGUGCAGGAUAGGUGGGAGGCUUUGAGUAUAUGACGCCAGUUGUAUAUGAGCCAUUGUUGAGAUACCACUCUUUCUUAUUUGGGUAGCUAACCAGCUUGAGUUAUCCUCAAGUGGGACAAUGUCUGGUGGGUAGUUUGACUGGGGCGGUCGCCUCCCAAAUAAUAACGGAGGCUUACAAAGGUUGGCUCAGAACGGUUGGAAAUCGUUCGUAGAGUAUAAAGGUAUAAGCCAGCUUAACUGCAAGACAUACAAGUCAAGCAGAGACGAAAGUCGGUCUUAGUGAUCCGGUGGUUCUGUGUGGAAGGGCCAUCGCUCAAAGGAUAAAAGGUACCCCGGGGAUAACAGGCUGAUCUCCCCCAAGAGCUCACAUCGACGGGGAGGUUUGGCACCUCGAUGUCGGCUCAUCGCAUCCUGGGGCUGGAGCAGGUCCCAAGGGUAUGGCUGUUCGCCAUUUAAAGCGGUACGCGAGCUGGGUUCAGAACGUCGUGAGACAGUUCGGUCCCUAUCUGCCGUGGGCGUAAGAAGAUUGAAGAGAUUUGACCCUAGUACGAGAGGACCGGGUUGAACAAACCACUGGUGUAGCUGUUGUUCUGCCAAGAGCAUCGCAGCGUAGCUAAGUUUGGAAAGGAUAAACGCUGAAAGCAUCUAAGCGUGAAGCCAACUCUAAGAUGAAUCUUCUCUAAGCUCUCUAGAAGACUACUAGUUUGAUAGGCUGGGUGUGUAAUGGAUGAAAGUCCUUUAGCUGACCAGUACUAAUAGAGCGUUUGGCUUAUCUUUAAUAAAGCAU
rnacentral:rRNA from 1 species